rnacentral:pre_miRNA from 1 species
UAAACUCAACUUUGUAUGGAGUUGGAACGUUUGCUUACGUUUGUCGCUAGGGGCGCUGUGCCAACUCCAUACAAAUUUGAGUUA